rnacentral:rRNA from 2 species
UUUACACAUGCAAGUCGAACGGCAGCGCGAACUUCGGUUUGGCGGCGAGUGGCGAACGGGUGAGUAAUAUAUCGGAACGUACCCAGUAGCGGGGGAUAACUACUCGAAAGAGUAGCUAAUACCGCAUACGCCCUACGGGGAAAGGGGGGGAUCGCAAGACCUCUCACUAUUGGAGCGGCCGAUAUCGGAUUAGCUAGUUGGUGGGGUAAAGGCUCACCAAGGCGACGAUCCGUAGCUGGUUUGAGAGGACGACCAGCCACACUGGGACUGAGACACGGCCCAGACUCC